GUUGGGGCGAGGGUGACUGUGAGGGAGGUGGGGGGCUGCGGAAGUCUAGGUGGCCCCUGUCUCACCUCUGGAAAGAACCGGAAGCCCGGGCUGCGGAGGGUGAAGGGAGUCGCGGACCGGCUGUACAGCCGAGGAGAAAACCCGGACCCCAAGCUAAGGGAGGCCGAAGAAGGAACUGGAGGGCCGGGCUGGGAAGGCCCUGAAGCACGGGUACCGGCUUUAGGCUGGGGAGGGUCGAACGGAGAACUCGGAGCCUGAGUCGGGCUCUACUGUGGCUUCUAAAUGUGGGGGCCUCAGGAUGUGAUCCGUGGUCGUGAACCGGAGGGUGACUUGGAGUUUUUGUCCGUUUUGCACCAUGAGAAAGCCUCGGAAUGGAAUCUGGCAGGUUUUAUACAUUAUGAAUAAAGCUGGCACUUUUCCAUUUCUCCUGGGCAGAUAUUUAGAAGAAAAGUUGCUGGGUAAUUGUGCAGGGGAAAGGAGAAUAAAGAACACUUAAUUGAUCUCAUAAAAAAGCAUAAAAGAAGCAGCAAGUAUAAGCCUGAUUAAAAAGAAAGUGAAGAAGGAGAUGGGUCAUUGAACUAAGGGGAGGCCUGGUGACAGCUCUUGGAAGAUGGAAGUCUGACCAGAACAGCACGUCUACCUGACAGAAAUGAAAACAUUUCCACACUAAAACAGGCACAUGAAUCUUCACAGCAGCAUUAUUCACAGUAGCCAAAAAAUGGAAACAUCCUAAACAUCCGUCAGCUGAUGAAUGGCGUCCACUCCCUGCCGUCUUUGCAUAGGAGAACCACAGUCCUGUAUUCAAAGGAACAUACUGAUGACCCCCAGCACUGUGAAAAUCAGAACAGUGAAUGGCAGGAUUCAAAGGGCCAUGACAAAUAUGAGGGAAAUGGAAAAGGAGAAUGCAAUCUAUUGUGGAUCAAACCUAACAGACAAUGGCAGCAAGAAGUGGGGAGAGAAGAGAAACUUUCUCUGGAGUCUUGCCUAUUCUGUGCUUCCAACAAUAUGUCCCUUCCCCAUACCUUGUCCAAUGCAUCUCUUCAUCUAUAUACUUUGUAAUAUCCUUUAUAUUAAACCAGCAAACAUAAGUGUUUCCUUGAGUUCUGUGAGCCACUUCAGCAAAUUAAUUGAACCCAAAAAGGAAGUUGUGAGAACCCCAUCUUUUUCUUUCUUUUUUUUUUAAGACAGGAUCACGCUUUGUUGCCCAGGCUG